rnacentral:rRNA from 1 species
AGUUCUCGUUGAUGAUCGGUGCUUGCACCGAGAUUCAACAUGGAACGAGUGGCGGACGGGUGAGUAACACGUGGGUAACCUGCCCUUAAGUGGGGGAUAACAUUUGGAAACAGAUGCUAAUACCGCAUAGAUCCAAGAACCGCAUGGUUCUUGGCUGAAAGAUGGCGUAAGCUAUCGCUUUUGGAUGGACCCGCGGCGUAUUAGCUAGUUGGUGAGGUAACGGCUCACCAAGGCGAUGAUACGUAGCCGAACUGAGAGGUUGAUCGGCCACAUUGGGACUGAGACACGGCCCAAACUCCUACGGGAGGCAGCAGUAGGGAAUCUUCCACAAUGGACGCAAGUCUGAUGGAGCAACGCCGCGUGAGUGAAGAAGGCUUUCGGGUCGUAAAACUCUGUUGUUGGAGAAGAAUGGUCGGCAGAGUAACUGUUGUCGGCGUGACGGUAUCCAACCAGAAAGCCACGGCUAACUACGUGCCAGCAGCCGCGGUAAUACGUAGG